AGAUAUCCGAUCAUCCUUGUCCUUCAGCUGAGCCGUAAGAACUUCUGGAUCAACAUACGCAUGUGGUGCAGAAGAAGGAGCAGCCGACCGGGAGCGACGACCCAAACCGACCAAACGUCCCUUUUUCUUUGGAACCGACUGAAAUAUAAAUAAAACGAAGUUAAGAUAAUUUAAAUUGAUGAUAAAAUAAAAAUCAAGAAAUAAUUAAAUUGAACUUUAAAAAAAAAAAACUUACCGAUUCAACGAUUUCGUUGAUUCGAACCCGAGACAAGUUGGUCGAGGCCGUCGAAUCGUCAUCAUCGGUUUGAAGCUGAGACACUUCGUCAUACACCUGAGUCUGGACCAGGUCGACCACGUCCCUCACAAGACCAUCAUCAAUCUGGCCGGUCUUCUUGUUGGUAUACGCCCUUUUCAUAAGGGCGAGAUCAUCAACUGGGUGGCCUUCAUUUUCUUCCGCCUUGAAAAAAAAUAAAUUAGACAAACAUUAGAGAUUUGAAAAUGCAAAAAAAAUAAAAUUCUGAAACUUAAAUAAUUGAAGAAAAAGCGGUUGAGCUUACCAUGCGAUCCGCCAGAGUGGCAAUAGAUUGAGC
rnacentral:lncRNA from 1 species